rnacentral:tmRNA from 1 species
GGACCGGGGGCGGUACCCGGCGCCUCCACCAAAGUAUAAUCAACAAAGAUUAUAUUUUUAUGGGGGCGAAACAGGAUCGACAAGGGUGUAAAGAUUGCUCUUUUACUCGGCAUUGUACCACCGUUAUCGGGCUAGAUGAAUAGUUGCAAAUGACAACUAUGCGGAGGCACGUCUCAUCGCUGCUUAAGCGAUGCGAAGGCUUCAAAUUAAGUCUUAAACCGUCGCAG